AUGAGGUAUUUUCAGAAUAAGAAGCAUCCAUUGUCUCAGUUUGUAUCGUGAAAGCUAUUUAGAUUGUUUAAGUUGGAAAUUAAAAGCAUAUAUUGAAGAUUAGAAUGUAUGUUGUGAAUUAUCUAAUUGACAAGUUUUAUUUUCCCCACUUUGUAGUGGGCUUUGGAUUUGUUGCUAAAAUAGUAAUGCAAGGAAAAAAUGCCAACUUGCUGUACAGAGCAGGAAAAAUUACCAGGGUGUGUCUGGUGAUCAUUAGCUGGCUAAUUUGAACUUUUAAGCAUAAUUUGUAUAUAUUCUACUUUUUCAUGUUAUCAGAGUCUAGUAUGAUGUGCAUGAUGAUUGAUUCUCUUGGUUAUAAAUUAUAAAAUGGUGACAAGUUCCGUGGUAAGGUAAAAACUUUCAAAGAAUUGCUAAGGCAGAAAAACUUAAUUAUUGGAUACUUGGUUGAAAUUGGCCAUAAUUUUUUUUUUUUUUUGUAGAUAAUUCCCCCGUCAUCCAACCUAGGACAUGUCAUAUGCCAAUGAGAUAUCCACCUUGGCAUCCUCUCCAGCAAAGCCUCACAAAAUGGUUGAAGUCUAUGGUGACCUACAUACUUGAGUCUGACUUGUAGUUGUCAUGGUGCCCUAAAAGCUGUUGAAAUAUUAAACAACAAACUCAACCUACAACUUAAUAGCGAAGUUGUUGAAAUAUUAAAUUGUUUAAAAUUUAUGAUUUGAAAUAAUUUUUUUUUUCAUUUUUUUAAAAUAUUUGUUAGAGGAUUAUAUUGUUUCCAAAUAAAAUCCUAAAUGACCAAUUGAUGUGAAUAUUGAAUGACAUGUUUGAUUGGUCAUCAGACAGGCACUGUAGAAAAGACAUGGUGUUUGGGCAUAUAUUUUGGAGGCAAUACUUGGUGAUGUUUCCUCUUCUAUAGAGAGAAACACAACUCUUAAGUGUCCCGACAAGUCCAAGUAGAAGAGAUCAACAACUACUGGAGGGACCUGCGGGAUUGUUUUAUCUUAUAGGCUGAUUCGUUAGAACAUGGUUUGCACUAAAGGGGCUGUUUACAGUCUUAAGGUGAGUGAAUAGUGGAUAGACUCACCUCUACCAAUUCCUUAGUUUUUUCAUAUGUUUCUAGGUUUAUGAUAUUGUGUAUAUCAUUAAUGUGACUGAUUGACUUGUCUAUAGUGAGUGAAUAGUGGCAAGACUCAGCACCACUAAUAUGUGUAAAAGUGUAUGCCUUUCAAGCUAAAGGUCUGAUUUUUAUUUCAAAAACUGUUUGGUUUGAUUUUCGAACCGUAUUUUCAGUGAAAGAAAAUAAAAUGGAACAAAAAUUCUGAAAAUAGUUGAGGAGCUGUUUUAUUUAAUUCUCUUUUUUCUUUUUUCGAUAAUAAAAUUGAUUUCACUCUUGCUCUUUAAUGAGUACAUGGUUAAUUUGAUGGAAAAACUAUAGUUUAAUGUUAAAAAUAAAACACCACCCUUUACCUCUACCACCAAGAAUGAGAAUCAAGAUUUUCGUUCUUGAUUAUGAGGACUAUAGAGUUGUAGGUGAUUUUCUUCGCAUUGGUCUCUCAUUUUAAGUUCAAGAUGACGCUCCCAAUCUAGUAUAAUCAUUUAACUUCGUGUGGCAUAUUUAUUUACAUUUUUUUGUCUCUCCUAUUUCUUGUUUCCUUUAGAAACAUAAUCCCAUUUUGUUUUGGCGUUUAUUGGAGUAAUUUGGUGAUCUCUUCUGGUUAACGGGGAACAUUGGAGGAGAUAAAAUGGCCAAGAGAUUUUCUCUGGGAAAUGCAGUGAGGAAUAAGCUCUUCGACAGAACUAACUCACACCAAAUCAAAACUCCUGAACAAUUUUCAUCAACAGAUCGAGAAGAUCUUAAAGAUUAGUAGGGUUUUCUCUAUAGAAAUUGAAACUAGGAAAACUUGGAGCUCUUGUGGAUUUUUGGCAAAGAAGAACAAAAUAAUUAAAUUUAUUAAGAUUGAGUUGCAAAAAUUAGGAAACAACAAGGUAUUUGUGCUGAGAUGAGGCUUAGUCUUCUGCGCCUUAGGACAUAAGGAGAAAGAGAAAAGGAGAGCAAGAGCAACCCAGUGCACAAGGCUCCCCCUACUACAAGGUUUGGAAGGGGCGAGUGUAUGCAGCCUUAACCUCUAUUUUCACAACUCUUAAGUGUCCCGACGUGUCCAAGUACAAGAGAUCAACAACUAUUGCGGGAUAUUUUUUAUGUUAUAGGCUGAUUCGUAAGAACAUGGUUUGCAAUAAAGGGGCUAUCUACAGUCUUAAUGUGAUGAGUAAAUAGCAGUGGAGGAGGUAAAAUGGCCAAGAGAUUUUCUCUAGGAAAUACAGUGAGGAAUAGGCUCUUUGAUAGAACCAACUCACACCAAAUCGAAAAUCCUGAACAAGUUUCAUCCACAGUUAGAGAACAGAUUGAGAAGAUCUUGAAGGGAGAUAGAAAAGGGGAGCAUGAGCAACCCAGUGCAUAAGACUUUGAUUGUAAAUGGACUCCCUCACCCUUUAGCCGAAGAAUAGUUGUCUCUUGAAACAUCUAAGCAUUCACUAUAGUUUGAUUUCUAGCACUCAGCCUAUAGCUCAAAAUAAGUUUCAUUCACUAUUUUGAUUUACAAGAACUUGGUUCUUGGUUUCAGAAAUUUUAUUGAUACUUUUUCUCCAAUUGUGUGGGAAUUUAACUUGAGUAGCAAGAAGGUAAAAUUUGUGUAUCAGUUUUUAUUCCCAGAAUUAAGUUAUUUCGUUUAUACCAAUUUCUUAAUAUGUAGUAUAGUAAUUGUUCCACAUCCCCUCCCCCCAUCCCAAAAAAAGAAAAAGUACAAGAAAUAUAUAUAUGCCGCUGAACUUGGAUGUUUGUAACAUGUAAAAGCACUACUGCAUGAACUUCAAUGUGGAGGAUUCUUGCUUAUAGCAAAGAAUGUAGAACUACAGAUAAGUUUUGCCAAUGUUUCUAUUUUUUUUUUUAGUAGCAUUCGUGUCAAUGACUUAAGUAAUAAAUCCUUAUUUGCAGGAGAAAGAGAAAAGGAGAGCAAGAGCAACCCAAUGCACAAGGCUCCUACUACUGCUAGGUUUGGAAGGGGCAAGUUUAACAGGGAACAGUGGAGGAGGUAAAAUGGCCAAGAGAUUUUCUCUAGGAAAUGCAGUGAGGAAUAGGCUCUUCAACAGAACAAAGUCACACCAAUUCGAAAAUCCUGAACAUGUUUCUUCCACAGUUAGAGAACAUAUCAAGUAGAUCUUGAAAGAAAACUUGGAGCUCUUGUGGAUUUUUUGCAAAGAAGAAGUAUCCUUUUCUAUA